CCUACGGGAGGCUGCAGUGGGGAAUAUUGCACAAUGGGGGAAACCCUGAUGCAGCGACGCCGCGUGAGUGAAGAAGGUCUUCGGAUCGUAAAACUCUGUCCUUGGUGAAGAUAAUGACGGUAGCCAAGGAGGAAGCCCCGGCUAACUACGUGCCAGCAGCCGCGGUAAUACGUAGGGGGCGAGCGUUGUCCGGAUUUACUGGGCGUAAAGGGUGAGUAGGCGGUUAUAUAUGUCAGGUGUAAAAGGCUAUGGCUUAACCAUGGUUAGCACUUGAAACUGUAUGACUUGAGUGCAGGAGAGGUAAGUGGAAUUCCUAGUGUAGCGGUGAAAUGCGUAGAUAUUAGGAGGAACACCAGUGGCGAAGGCGACUUACUGGACUGUAACUGACGCUGAGUCACGAAAGCGUGGGUAGCAAACAGGAUUAGAUACCCCGGUAGUC
rnacentral:rRNA from 1 species